UACGUAGGGUCCAAGCGUUGUCCGGAAUCAUUGGGCGUAAAGAGCUCGUAGGCGGCCUGUUGCGUCCGCUGUGAAAUCCCGGGGCUUAACCCCGGGCGUGCAGUGGAUACGGGCUGGCUGGAGGCAGGCAGGGGAGAACGGAAUUCCCGGUGUAGCGGUGAAAUGCGCAGAUAUCGGGAGGAACACCGGUGGCGAAGGCGGUUCUCUGGGCCUGUACUGACGCUGAGGAGCGAAAGCGUGGGGAGCGAACAGG
rnacentral:rRNA from 1 species